rnacentral:sRNA from 1 species
AUGAGAGACUUGCUGAAGGAGAAACAAACUGUGAAGUCUGACCCUAGGGAAUGAGUGCUAUGCGGAUCAGAUCAAGAGAGGGCGGCUGCCUGGCUCUGAUGCUUCCCAGACUUGGGACCCAAAACUCAAGAAGACAACGAAACAUAGUUUUUGCUCUUGUUGCCCAGGCUGGAGUGCAAUGGCAUCAUCUCAGCUCACCACAACCUCUCUCCCGGAUUCAAGCAAUUCUCCUGCCUCAG